rnacentral:rRNA from 1 species
UACGUAGGGUGCAAGCGUUGUCCGGAAUUAUUGGGCGUAAAGAGCUCGUAGGCGGUUUGUCGCGUCUGCUGUGAAAGUUCGGGGCUCAACCACGGUACUGCAGUGGGUACGGGCAGAAUAGAGUGCGGUAGAGGAGACUGGAAUUCCUGGUGUAGCUGUGGAAUGCGCAGAUAUCAGGAGGAACACCAGUGGCGAAGGCGGGUCUCUGGGCCGAAACUGACGCUGAGGAGCGGAAGCGUGGGGAGCGUACAGG